rnacentral:rRNA from 1 species
CAGCCGCCGCGGUAAUACCGGCGGCCCGAGUGGCGGUCACUAUUAUUGGGCUUAAAACGUCCGUAGCCGGGUUGGGAAGUCCUCCGGGAAAUCUGGCCGCUUAACGGUCAGAAUGCCGGAGGAUACUCCCAGCCUAGGGAGCGGGAGAGGCCGAGGGGAUUCCCGGGGUAGGGGUGAAAUCCUAUAAUCCCGGGAGGACCACCUGUGGCGAAGGCGCUCGGCUGGAACGCGUCCGACGGGGAGGGACGAAGGCCAGGGGAGCAAACCGGAUUAGAUACCCGGGUAGUCCUGGCUGUAAACGAUGCGGACUUUGUGUCGGACAAGCUAUGAGCUUGUCCGGUGCCGGAGGGAAACCGUUAAGUCCGCCGCCUGGGGAGUACGGCCGCAAGGCUGAAACUUAAAGGAAUUGGCGGG